AUACGGAGGAUCCAAGCGUUAUCCGGAUUUAUUGGGUUUAAAGGGUGCGUAGGCUGCUCGAUAAGUUAGAGGUGAAAAUUCGUCGCUUAACGACGGACGUGCCUCUGAUACUGUCGGGCUAGCGAGAGAGUGCUGUGGGCGGAAUGUGUAGUGUAGCGGUGAAAUGCUUAGAGAUUACACAGAACACCGAUUGCGAAAGCAGCUCACAAACUCUUUUCGGACGCUGAGGCACGAAAGCGUGGGGAGCAAACAGGAUUAGAUACCCUGGUAGUCCACGCUGUAAACGAUGAUUACUCGUUGUCGGCGAUAUAGCGAUCGGUGACUAAGCGAAAGCGAUAAGUAAUCCACCUGGGGAGUACGUUGGCAACAAUGAA
rnacentral:rRNA from 1 species